GAUGAACGCUGACAGAAUGCUUAACACAUGCAAGUCAACUUGAAUUUGGGUUUUUAACUUAGAUUUGGGUGGCGGACGGGUGAGUAACGCGUAAAGAACUUGCCUCACAGCUAGGGACAACAUUUAGAAAUGAAUGCUAAUACCUAAUAUUAUGAUAAUAGGGCAUCCUAUAAUUAUGAAAGCUAUAUGCGCUGUGAGAGAGCUUUGCGUCCCAUUAGCUAGUUGGAGAGGUAACAGCUCACCAAGGCGAUGAUGGGUAGCCGGCCUGAGAGGGUGAUCGGCCACAAGGGGACUGAGACACGGCCCUUACUCCUACGGGAGGCAGCAGUGGGGAAUAUUGGACAAUGGACCGGGAGUCUGAUCCAGCAAUUCUGUGUGCACGAUGAAGUUUUUCUGAAUGUAAAGUGCUUUCAGUUGGGAAGAAAGAAAUGACGGUACCAACAGAAGAAGUGACGGCUAAAUACGUGCCAGCAGCCGCGGUAAUACGUAUGUCACGAGCGUUUUCCGGAUUUAUUGGGCGUAAAGCGCGUCUAGGGGGGUUAUAUAAGUCUGAUGUGAAAAUGCAGGGCUCAACUCUGUAUUGCGUUGGAAACUUGUAUAACUAGAGUACUGUAGAGGUAAGCGGAACUUCAAGUGUUUAGGUGAAAUUCGUAGAUAUUUUGUAGGAAUGCCCAUGGGGAAGCCAGCUCACUGUACAGAUACUGACGCUGUAAGCGUG
rnacentral:rRNA from 1 species